rnacentral:rRNA from 1 species
UACGGAGGGAGCUAGCGUUGUUCGGAAUUACUGGGCGUAAAGCGCACGUAGGCGGCUUUGUAAGUUAGAGGUGAAAGCCCGGGGCUCAACCCCGGAAAUUGCCUUUAAGACUGCAUCGCUUGAAUCCAGGAGAGGUGAGUGGAAUUCCGAGUGUAGAGGUGAAAUUCGUAGAUAUUCGGAAGAACACAGUGGCGAAGGCGGCUCACUGGACUGGUAUUGACGCUGAGGUGCGAAAGCGUGGGGAGCAAACGGGG